rnacentral:lncRNA from 8 species
AUGCAUGAGAGGCAGCCCCAAUCAUUUUUUUGGGGGGGGCACACGGGUAGUUUGGCUGGGCCAGGGUUAAGCCCCAAGCCAACUCCCCGUGCUUAUCGGAGGCAGCCUGUUACUGGUCAGGCCCCGUGCUAUGGGGUGAUGCGCACGGCGUCGAGGCCGAGCAUUCACAGGCCGGUGUGCGCGGUGCCAGCUCCCCGCAUUUGCCAGGGGAAAGCGGGCAUCCAGCCAGUAAGGGUGGUGCCAGUACUGCGCUCAAGACCGCCAGUGCCCCUUCACGGCCCAGUGUAUCCUGUUCCCGCUCCUGGCACUAGCCCUGAGGUGCAUGUUUCCAGUCUGGCACAUCCAAAGCCAGCACCACGCACCAGGCCUCCAGUGCGUCAGCCCAGUCCAACUCGUCCUGUUCCUGCUCCCCGCACUAGCCUUGGGGUGCGUGUAUCCAGUCUGGCAUCUCCAGUACCAGCCCCACGCACCAGGCCUCCAGUGCGUCAGCCCAGUCCAACUUGUCCUGUUCCUGCUCCCCGCACUAGCCUUGGGGUGCGUGUAUCCAGUCUGGCAUCUCCAGUACCAGCCCCACGCAUCAGGCCUCCAGUGCGUCAGCCCAGUCCAACUCGUCCUGUUCCUGCUCCUCGCACUAGCCUUGGGGUGCGUGUCUCCAGUCUGGUACCUCCACUACCAGCCCCACGCAUCAGGCUUUCAGUGCGCAGUCCCCGUCCAGAGCUUCCGAACGACAGUACCCCGUCCAGAGCUUCCGACGACAGUGCCCCGUCCAGAGCUUCCGACGAUAGUGCCCCGUCCAGAGCGUCCAGCGACAGUGCCCCGUCCAGAGCUUCCGGCGACAGUGCCCCGUCCAGAGCGUCCGGCGACAGUGCCCCGUCCAGAGCGUCCGACGACAGUGCCCCGUCCAGAGCGUCCGGCGACAGUGCCCCGUCCAGAGCGUCCGGCGACAGUGCCCCGUCCAGAGCGUCCGGCGACAGUGCCCCGUCCAGAGCGUCCGGCGACAGUGCCCCGUCCAGAGCGUCCUGCGACAGUGCCCCGUCUAGAGAUGGCCCACAGUCCGGAACCGAGUGUGACGGCCCACAGUCCGGAACCGAGUGA